GUCUACGUAGUCGACAUGCCCGAUGCCCUCCGGGAUCAUGUGCCGACAUCCAUGGUGGAUCGGAGGAUGGUAGCGAGCGCGAGACCUGACAGGCACGUCGGUAAAAUGGGCAGAGCUCACGGGCACGGGGAUCCACAACCUCCACGCAUCCCCCCCUCUCUUCCUCGUUCGCUUGCUGGGCCCCACUUCCCCUCCACGCGGUACGCGGACACGACGCUUCCGUCGCAACCCCCACACCUUUCCGUCCCGCCGGCCCAUCGGCCGCCGCCUCCCUGCGCACCCAGCCGAGGAGACCGCCAUGAUGGCGGGCGCCUCAGGCUCAGUCGAAGAGGAGGGAGGACUGAGGGCGGAGGAGUCCCCGUCCGGCGGCGUCGACGUCUGGAGCGACGCCGUCUCCUCCCACGCCCCGGAACACCUCCUCGUCAUGGUCCACGGCAUCCUCGGCAGGCUACAAAUCUGUUUCGCCCGGCAGCAGAAUGGACCAGUGGCAGAAUGGAAUCCUACCAAUGACUGGCAAUACGCAGCCAACGAAUUUGUAAAGCAGCUUCCUGAUGAUGUAAUUGUGCAUUGCAGUGAGAAAAACAUGAACACAUUGACUCUAGACGGUGUCGAUGUUAUGGGAGAACGCUUAGCAGAUGAGGUUCUUGAUGUAAUUAGUCGAAAGCCAGAGCUCACCAAAAUUUCUUUUCUUGCACACUCCGUUGGAGGCUUAGUAGCAAGAUAUGCAAUUGCAAAACUUUAUAGACAUCCAAAUAGCACAUUUGACAGCAAAGCUGAAGGAACCAUAUGCGGGUUGGAAGCGGUGAACUUUAUAACCGUAGCAACGCCUCACCUUGGUUCUCGAGGAAACAAGCAGGUUCCACUCCUCUUUGGAUUCAUUACGAUUGAGAAGGUUGCUUCUCGUGUCAUCCAUUGGAUAUUUAGGAGAACUGGGAGACAUCUUUUUCUUACUGAUAGUGCUGAGGGAGAACCACCACUGUUGCAGCGUAUGGUUGAAGAUUAUGGCGAUCUUUACUUUAUAUCUGCUUUGCGAGCAUUUAAACGACGAGUGGCAUAUGCUAAUGCUGAUUGCGAUCACAUUGUUGGCUGGAGAACAUCAUCUAUUAGAAGAAACACCGAGCUGCCUAAGUGGGAGGAAUCUGUAUGUGAGAAGUAUCCUCACAUUGUACAUGAGGAAUACUCUGAAGAAAUCAGCGAUGAGAAGUGUCAAGAUUUGGCAGCAGAUUGCGAUUUUGACUUACUGGAAGGUAUGUGUCCGUAAACCUGGUUUGUUGACUCUAUAAUGUGGAAGUUAAGACUUGGAAGAAAAAAUGGUGACAGGGCUGAGACGCGUUUCAUGGGAAAAGGUAGAUGUUAGCUUCCACACGAGCAUGCGGAGUUUCGCAGCGCACAGCAUUAUCCAGGUCAAGUAUGCGUUUAUGAACGAAGGAGCGGACGUCAUACAGCACAUUAUAGACCACUUCCAGCUCUGAGAAUUUCCUUGGCAAUGCCACUAGCAAUGCAGUCUGAAGCUGCAGACCGAGGAGGCUGUCCUACCUCUACUUACACACAUUAGUUCCAGACUCGAGACGAAAACCGCAGUCAGCCCACAGCCACAGGGGAGGCCCGGUAGUAUCAAGUUAGUUCUAGAUUGUUAAUUUAUUGCUUAACAGUGUGUAACAGUGCGUUGUAAUGGCUGUAUAUAAGAGUAAGUGCCACGAAUUACUCCGUGCCGUCCGUUACAAAGAAAGAUCCCGUCGGAACGGAGAAAACAACAUCAUCCUUGUUGUACAUGUAUCGCUAUUAUGUGCCCUGUCACCAAUCUCACAUGUGACGCUA